rnacentral:rRNA from 1 species
GACGAACGCUGGCGGCGUGCUUAACACAUGCAAGUCGAACGGAAAGGCCCUGCUUUUGUGGGGUGCUCGAGUGGCGAACGGGUGAGUAACACGUGAGUAACCUGCCCUUGACUUUGGGAUAACUUCAGGAAACUGGGGCUAAUACCGGAUAGGAGCUCCUGCUGCAUGGUGGGGGUUGGAAAUUUUCGGCGGUUGGGGAUGGACUCGCGGCUUAUCAGCUUGUUGGUGGGGUAGUGGCUUACCAAGGCUUUGACGGGUAGCCGGCCUGAGAGGGUGACCGGCCACAUGGGGACUGCGAGACGGCCCAGACUCCUACGGGAGGCAGCAGUGGGGAAUAUUGCACAAUGGGCGGAAGCCUGAUGAAGCAACGCCGCGGGCGGGAUGACGGCCUUCGGGUUGUAAACCGCUUUCGCCUGUGACGAAGCGUGAGUGACGGUAAUGGGUAAAGAAGCACCGGCUAACUACGUG